UUUCCGUAGGUGAACCUGCGGAAGAUCAUUAAAAAAUUGGGUGACUGUAAUUUAGGUUAACCCAUUAAUAAUAUCCUACCCUUUGUGAAUUUGUUUGUUAUGUAAAAUUUUUUGUCUAUCCUAAAGAAAGGUUGGAUAAGUGUAAUAGCUUAAAAAACUUUUUUUAGGAAUGGCUUAAAGACUUUUAUUUAAAAUUAAACUUUUGUAUUCAUUUGUCUAAAAUAAAUUUUUAAAUAAAUAAUUUAAAAACAACUUUUGACAAUGGAUCUCUUGGUUCUCGCAACGAUGAAGAACGCAGCAAAAUGCGAUAAGUAAUGUGAAUUGCAGAAUACGUGAAUCAUCAAAUCUUCGAACGCAUAUUGCACUUUUUAGUUUACUAAAAAGUAUGUCUGUUUGAGUAUCAGUAAAAUAUUCUCAUAAAAUCAUUUGAUUUUAUGUAUGAGUGUUUUACAACGAUAACAAGUUGUUUCACUUUAAAUGGAUUUUAAUUGAAAUCGUCGGUUGGGAACGAUUUUAAUUUUUUUUAAAAAAUUGGAUAAAAUUUCCCGUAAAAAGGAAUAAAGCUAUUUCAGUUUUUAGAAAUUUUAAUAGUUUCCAUACCGUACAGUUAAAGGAAAUUAUUUAUAAAUAACUUGAUCUCAAAUCAGAUAAGAGUACCGCUGAACUAAGCAUAUCAAUAAGCGGAGGAAAAGAACUAACAAGGAUUCCCUUAGUAACGGCGAGUGAAGCGGAAGAGCUCAAAUUUGAAAUCUUCAAGUUCUACCUUGACGAAUUGUAGUUUAAAGAAGUGUUUUCUGUUAGAGGAGUGGCAAAAGUUCUUUGGAAUAGGACAUCAUAGAGGGUGAGAAUCCCGUAUUGGUCAUUCUUUCUAGCUGUGUGAUACACUUUCAAAAGUCGGAUUGUUUGGGAAUGCAGUCCAAAAUGGUGGUAAAUUUCAUCUAAGCAAAUAUUGGCGAGAGACCGAUAGCGAACAAGUACCGUGAGGAAAGAUGAAAAGAACUUUGAAAAGAGAGUUAAACAGUACGUGAAAUUGUCAAAAGGGAAGCGUUUGACACCAGUGUGUUUUUCCGAAAUCAAUUGUGCUGGCUGGAUUUUGUAGGAGUUUGACCUUAUCAGCUUCUUCUGCUUUUUCCGGUCUGGUGCAAUGCACUUUCGGUUAACAAGUCAACAUCAAUUUCUUUUGUUGUAAAAGGGUAAUUGGAAGGUGGCUUUCUUUUCGGAGAAAGUGUUUAUAGCCUUUUACCUCUACAGUCGGAGAGAUUGAGUCUGCAGCGUAGAUCCUUCGGGUUAGAUACAUUUGUGCUAAGUUAUAGCCUGUAUAGACAACUUGUUGACUAUACUCGUCAUGUAGCUUACUCGCUUAUGCUAUUUUACCUACGCUUAGGAUGUUG
rnacentral:misc_RNA from 1 species